rnacentral:lncRNA from 1 species
AAGGAAUCGAAUGGGAUGAAUUUAGGAGGGUUGUUUGUUAGAUUUUGUCUUUGUUAUAUUAUUAGCAUGAUCGUCAUCUUUCAAUCUUUAAUUCUUUUUGUUUGUUUUCCCUUUUAUAUAUAUACCUUCUUUUUGUCUUCAUUUUUAGAACAGUAUCUAUUGUGAAUCUUUACAAAUGUAUGUAACUUUUAUAAUCUUAUCAACUAAUGUCUUGUUAAAAGUAACGAUCUAUUAUCUGAAUGGUAUCUUAUGCAAAUAUAGUCAGUGACUCAGUAUAUUCACUUGUAGGGAANNNNNNNNNNNNNNNNNNNNNNNNNNNNNNNNNNNNNNNNNNNNNNNNNNNNNNNNNNNNNNNNNNNNNNNNNNNNNNNNNNNNNNNNNNNNNNNNNNNNNNNNNNNNNNNNNNNNNNNNNNNNNNNNNNNNNNNNNNNNNNNNUAAAUGCUUGAAAAUAUAUACAAAUAAUUAAACGUAAAUAUCUUAAAUAGUUAAAUAUACUCAAAACUCCAAAAAUACUUAAAUAAUUAUUAAUUCUCUGUCCAAAUAUUUAAACCAAACCUAUUUAAAUUGGUUAUCCAAAUCCGAACCAAAUCCUGAAAGAUUUGAACUGAACAUGAAAUUCCAAAAAGACCUGAAAACGAACCCGAACGUCCAUCGCUAAUCACUAUUAUAUAUAUAUCCUAUAUGUGUCAUCAUAGGUUACAAAAUAUGUGUUAUCAUAUAAUUAAUCAUAUUUUAUACGUACCAUCAAAUCAGUUUUCUUAUAAUUAAUAAUAUUUUAUACGUACAAUCAUAUAAAUAAUCACAUAAAUUAUAUUAUUAAAUUUAAUGUGAAAUAUAAAACCAUAAUUUAAGUUGGUGUUUGAAAUUGGGCUUUGUAUUAUAUUUUUCUUAUAUAUAUUGAAAAUAUUUUUAUAAUAGUUAUUGAAAAAUAUGUUAGUAAAAAUCAAGUUUUGAAUAUAUGUUUAUUUUUGAAUGAAUUUUUGAUAUAAAUCAAUUUUAAAUUAUUAUUUUGAUUUUAAUAUAUAUAUUAUCAAGUAAUAUAGACCCAUUACUUUUUAAUAUAAUGUAAUGGACUUCCAAAUUUUUAGUAACAUAAGCCCAUUAUUUUUUUUUCUAACUUACUACUAUUCAUGUUUCCAAACAGUACUAUUUUUAACUACUAUUCAUAUUGCCAAACAAUCUCAAUGUGUACUUCAACUUUAAUAAUAUAGAUGUUAUCUAAUCCAAAAGUUUAUCCAAAAUCUAAUGAGAUCUAAUUUAAUUUUUUUUAAAUGAUAUAAUAACAUAAAGACAAGAAACAGGAAUAUAAAAAAAAAGAAUUAUCGAAAUUCUGACGUAUGUAAUAACUAGGACAAACAAAACACACAACCUCGAACCUCCUCAACUCGAAAAAAAUAUCUGGCUGAUAUUUGUGGAAGAUAUUUAUCGAUGGCAAUGACGUGGCAAUGCUCAAACACGUGUAAAAGCGAAGCCAUGUGGACCUUUUCUUCCUUUCUUCAUCUCUUCUCCUCAUUCUCCUCCGAAGGCAAACAAAGUUUUUUGCUCUUUUCCUUAAGAGACGCAUCGAUGGAGAAUGAGUAUGGUGUGAAUAUUGUUUCUCUCGAGAUGGAUCGCGAUGCGGAGCCGUCGGGUGAAUCUGAGAGCGAGUCGACUCUCUCUAACUCGCCCGAGUCCGGUCUUACGGUCGAGAGCUCUCGUGGUGACGACGCUGACGCGAAGAAGAUGGUAUAACAAAUCUCCUGCUUGCUUACUUAUGCUAUGGUUCUCGAACUUUUUAAUGGUGGAAGUUAGCUUUGUUGUAUAUAUAUAUAUGGUAGGAAGCUUCAGAUCUGAUGCUAUGAUUAGGUCAUAUACACAUUAAUUUGAAAAAUUGAUUGGUUUUGUAUUGAAAAGUGAUUAGUCGCAUUGAGAAGUCAUUAUCUUUAAUAAAACUGAUUGGUAUGCUUCUUCUGAGUGAAUAGAGUCAUAUCAUCUUUGGCUUCUCAUCAAAAUGGUCGUUUUCUUGUAAAAUUGUCUGUGCAGGAGGAGUGUGGUGGAUGGACGAAUGAGAGACACAACUCGUAUCUUGAAUAUUUAGAGAACUCAUUCGUUAAGCAGUUGUAUUCCUUACUUGGAGGAGAGGAGAGGAGGAGACUCUCCACAGCUCGUGAUCUGCAGUCUAACUCUCACAUAUCGACUGAUGAUCAGGUUUUGUACUCUUCUUAAUGCUUCUUCCUCUGUAGCUCCCUUUUCUUAAUAGUCUAGUUGAAACUUACUACAUUUCUCUUUAUGCAGUUUACGGUACUACAAAAUGGUUGCCGCCAGAAGGUUAACUUCGGAAAGAAACGACCUCGUUUAGAGACGUCAUCAUCGAGACAGACUCCUCUGGGACAUGAGUAUUCUGCUCAAAGCACUGCAGGUAACGUUUUGCUUAGCCUAGGUUAGUCGAACUCUUCUUAGGAGUUGUAUGUUUGACAUCUUCCCUUUUUGUCCCUUUUCUGAAUUGUCUAAGAACUAGGCUGAUACUGUUUGAUUAGAUCAACACUUAAGUUAACUAUGCACUGAUUUCGAGUGGCUUUGCAGCAAUGGAUAUAUAUAUGAGAUCUUGUCUGAUAUUUAUUCACGCACUGACCCACACAUGAAUAUGUUUUGUUUAGAGCCUGUGUGCUUGUCUGAUUGAUAAAUACUCUAUUAUCAGUCCAAAGACUAAACUCUACCUCCUUUUUUUUUUGUUCUUGCAACUCCAGAGGCAUCAGGGCAGAAUUUCAGAGAAGAAGUAGGAGAGAAAGAAUGUAACUCAAGGGCGUCCAGGAAACGCAGAAGAGAAGCUAACUAUGAUGAUAGUUCACUGAAUGAUCAGGUAUAAAAUAUAAAAAAGAACACAUACUAAAACGACCUCUCUUGUAUUAUGCUGAAGAGGGUACUGCAUUUCUCAGGUUGUGCCGUAAGGAUGGUGAAGCAGCGCAUAGGAAGUGAAGUGUAGAUGACUUACUAUAAACAGAGAAAAGUAGCAACUGUGAGUGGUAAAUCAAAAUGUGGAGGGCUUUUGUUUGUUGUAUAGAAUGAGGCCAAAGAGAGCCUUAUUAAGGAAUCGAAUGGGAUGAAUUUAGGAGGGUUGUUUGUUAGAUUUUGUCUUUGUUAUAUUAUUAGCAUGAUCGUCAUCUUUCAAUCUUUAAUUCUUUUUGUUUGUUUUCCCUUUUAUAUAUAUACCUUCUUUUUGUCUUCAUUUUUAGAACAGUAUCUAUUGUGAAUCUUUACAAAUGUAUGUAACUUUUAUAAUCUUAUCAACUAAUGUCUUGUUA